CUGAGCACAGCACGCAUGUGAGCGAGGGGGGAGAAGCUGCUGCCUGCGAGUUUGCUGCAGACAGAGGAGAGCUUAAGUUUGACCAGCACAGAGAGGGAGAGAGAGGAACAGAGAGGGAGAGAGAGGGAGAGAGGACAAAACAGAGAUGGAACAAGAGCAGAUCCUGACCUUCAGUCCGGAGCGUCCAUGGGCCUCCUGCUGCCAGGAAACCAGAUCCCGAGCGUUUAGUGAGACAGGAUCAGUUCGUGCGGUGCGAACGGGGCCAACUAAACGGUCUAUUUCUGUUUAAUCCUGACUUCCUGUUUGGCUCCACCACCGUUGUAAGCGAUGCUGCCGGAAAAAUCUGCUGCUGCUGGACGAGCGGGGAGCAGGACGGCUCGGAUCCCCCGUACACCUGCAGGAUUUGGCUCCGAUGUGGAAACAGGGAUCAGGAAUAUUUAUACACGCUUACAUAACCAGCCUCGCCAUUCAACAUCCAGAUCAGUGUUUCUGUACCACUAUCUCACACACACGCCUCCCCCAUCACCUCCCCCUCUGCAGAGGAGAUACCAGUGCUCUUAGAAACUCCCCUGGUUGCCUAGCAACUGGUCCUGAGGAUUGCCAAAGAGACAGAGAUCAUUCGUCUGUUAUGAGUGGGUAAUAUGAUAUUGUGUAAGUGGGGGUGUGAGCUUUCACGUCCAUGUUUGUGAGGACCGACUGAAGUUUUUUUGGAACCAAGCACGUUUGAGGGCUCAGCUGUGACGAGUCGGGACGCCGUCCACGUCUGCCCUCGACCAUCACACGUCGACACGACUGUUCUGCAUGUAUGUAAGCAAAUCAGACAUUUCAUGGAGUUUCUGUAAAGUGGGGACAUGUUUUGUGUAUUGGGGACAAACGUUUAUCAAAUAUUUAACCAUUAAGGGAAAUAUUCAUGAAAUAAACUGAAACGUGACCAAGUAAAGUAAAUUUCCUUUGAUGAAAUCUGAUUAUUUUUACAUUAUGUUUAUAUAAAUGUAUCUGUUUGAGUGUAUAAAGCCUGUUAAGUAAACUUCCAGCUUCGUUACAAUUUCAUCUUCUUUUCUGCCACAUAGAGACAAACAGGAACAUUUAGGUCGAGGCCGAGUACUAAAGUUUUAGUCCUGGUCACUAAUCUGGCCUCCAUGUUUGUGGACAGCAGGUUAACAGCGGUUUAAGGUCAGAGAGGUCGGCCUAAAGCACAAAAAUCUAUAAACCUUUGUCAUACAGUGAGAUGAAAACAAAACACAUCGACCGCCGAGGAGUCCGUCUUCGCAUCAUAACGAGUCUCAUAUCGAGGCUGACGGAGAUAACCACGCUUUCGGACGUGAUGGAGGCUCAGGCGGUGACGAGGACGCGGAGAGCUGAAUGAAAUCAGCCCAGAUCGAACUUCCUGCUGCUGAUGGUAUCUGCUGUGUGAGCUGCUGGUUUUAUUACAGGGAACAGCGGGCGCGAGGGAAAGGUCGCCCUGCAGACAUUGUUUUCUCGUUCCCGGCGGCCUGUGGGUCAACAAAUAUCGACUGGGCCGCUUCCUGUUAUACGACUGAAACCGUGUUCAGGAGAGAGGACGCGAGCAGGCGGGCAGAGGGAGGUGAACACAAAUGAACGUUAAUGUUACAGUUUGGCUACAACGAACACGUGACAUACGUGAACUGUCUGCAGAGUUUAUCUCCUGUUGGUUACAGCUGCAGCACAUUCAGCACGAAGCUGUGAGGCAGCCGCCGGUGCAAAAGGAGGGAAGGAAGUAAAAGAAAAGAAAGAAAGGAGGAAGUAAAGGAAACUAUGAAAGGAAAAGGAAAGGUAAAUGAAGAAAAGAUGGAAGGAAGGAGGCGAAGAAUGGAGAAUGAAUAAAAAAAGAACAAAGAGAAAAGGAAAAAAGGAAAAGCAGCA
ensembl:lncRNA